AGCGAACGCUGGCGGCAGGCUUAACACAUGCAAGUCGAACGCAUCCUUCGGGGUGAGUGGCAGACGGGUGAGUAACACGUGGGAACGUACCCUUCGAUCUGGGAUAACUUCGGGAAACUGGAGCUAAUACCGGAUCCGCCCUUUUGGGGAAGGGUUUACUGUCGAAGGAUCGGCCCGCGUCUGAUUAGCUAGUUGGUGGGGUAACGGCCUACCAAGGCGACGAUCAGUAGCUGGUCUGAGAGGAUGAUCAGCCACACUGGGACUGAGACACGGCCCAGACUCCUACGGGAGGCAGCAGUGGGGAAUAUUGGACAAUGGGCGCAAGCCUGAUCCAGCCAUGCCGCGUGAGUGAUGAAGGCCUUAGGGUUGUAAAGCUCUUUUGUCCGGGACGAUAAUGACGGUACCGGAAGAAUAAGCCCCGGCUAACUUCGUG
rnacentral:rRNA from 1 species